rnacentral:rRNA from 1 species
UACGUAGGAGGCGAGCGUUGUCCGGAGUUACUGGGCGUAAAGGGUGCGUAGGCGGCCGCGCGCGUGGGGGGUGAAAUCUCUCGGCUUACCCGGGGAGGGGGCUUUCCAGACGGCGUGGCUUGAGGGACGGAGAGGGGCGUGGAAUUCCGGGUGGAGCGGUGGAAUGCGUAGAGAUCGGGAAGAACACCCGUGGCGAAGGCGGCGUGCUGGGUUGCAACUGACGCUGAGACGCGAAAGCGUGGGGAGCAAACAGGG